GAGCAUUUCGUGUUGCACCCUCCUGCCUUGGUGUGCUUCCGCACUUUAACUUGUCAGGAUUCUUUUUUCUACACCCCUCCUGUGUGGGAAGAAAAAGUCGAUCCUCUUUUUGAAUCUGAUCGACUUUUGUUCAAAUGUCGAUCUUUUUGUUGAAUCUGAUCGACUUUUGUAAAAAUGUCGAUCUCAGUGGUGCCCAUCGACUUUUGUCAAAAAGUCGAUUCCCUGGGUCCUUGUAUUGCUUCCUUUGUGAAAAAGUCGACUCCUGACGCUUUGGCCCAAAAGUCGAGUCCUUGUGUGAAAAAGUCGGUUUUACCCUUUUUUGUCCUUUUGCGCGGUCCUUGGGUCUAUAAAUAGAGCCCUUAGGUCCUCCUUCUCCUUCAUCCAUGGCUCUUCUUGUGAGUCUCUUUG
rnacentral:lncRNA from 1 species